UACGAAGGGUGCAAGCGUUACUCGGAAUUACUGGGCGUAAAGCGUGCGUAGGUGGUUUGUUAAGUCUGAUGUGAAAGCCCUGGGCUCAACCUGGGAAUGGCAUUGGAUACUGGCGAGCUAGAGUGCGGUAGAGGGUAGUGGAAUUCCCGGUGUAGCAGUGAAAUGCGUAGAUAUCGGGAGGAACACCAGUGGCGAAGGCGCGUUUCUGGGCUGCAUCUGACGCUGAGGCGCGAAAGCUAGGGGAGCAAACAGG
rnacentral:rRNA from 1 species